rnacentral:rRNA from 1 species
UCCAGACUCCUACGGGAGGCAGCAGUGAGGAAUAUUGGUCAAUGGCCGCAGGGCUGAACCAGCCAAGUCGCGUGAGGGAUGACGGUCCUAUGGAUUGUAAACCUCUUUUGUCAGGGAGCAAAGGGCGCCACGUGUGGCGCUUUGCGAGUACCUGAAGAAAAAGCAUCGGCUAACUCCGUGCCAGCAGCCACGGUAAUACGGAGGAUGCGAGCGUUAUCCGGAUUUAUUGGGUUUAAAGGGUGCGCAGGCGGAAUGUCAAGUCAGCGGUAAAAUUUCGGGGCUCAACCCCGUCGUGCCGUUGAAACUGGGGAUCUAGAGUGUGCGAGAGGUAUGCGGAAUGCGUGGUGUAGCGGUGAAAUGCAUAGAUAUCACGCAGAACCCCGAUUGCGAAGGCAGCAUACCGGUGCACAACUGACGCUCAGGCACGAAAGCGUGGGUAUCGAACAGGAUUAGAUACCCUUGUA